rnacentral:misc_RNA from 1 species
UCUCCGUUGGUGAACCAGCGGAGGGAUCAUUACAGAGUUGCAAAACUCCCAAACCAUUGUGAACGUUACCUAUCCCGUUGCUUCGGCGGGCGGCCCGGGCCCCGCGCCCGGCGCCCCCCGGCCCCCCGUGGGCGCCCGCCGGAGGUAAACCAAACCCUUGAAUUGCAUGGCCUCUCUGAGUCUUCGGUACUGAAUAAGUCAAAACUUUCAACAACGGAUCUCUUGGUUCUG